rnacentral:rRNA from 1 species
GACGAACGCUGGCGGCGUGCCUAAUACAUGCAAGUCGAGCGGACGGAUGGGAGCUUGCUCCCAGACCGUCAGCGGCGGACGGGUUAGUAACACGUGGGCAACCUGCCUGUAAGACUGGGAUAACUCCGGGAAACCGGGGCUAAUACCGGAUAACUCUUUCCCUCACAUGAGGGAAAGCUGAAAGAUGGCAUCUCGCUAUCACUUACAGAUGGGCCCGCGGCGCAUUAGCUAGUUGGUGAGGUAACGGCUCACCAAGGCGACGAUGCGUAGCCGACCUGAGAGGGUGAUCGGCCACACUGGAACUGAGACACGGCCCAGACUCCUACGGGAGGCAGCAGUAGGGAAUCUUCCGCAAUGGACGAAAGUCUGACGGAGCAACGCCGCGUGAGUGAUGAAGGUUUUCGGAUCGUAAAACUCUGUUGUCAGGGAAGAACAAGUACCGGUGUAACUGCCGGUACCUUGACGGUACCUGACCAGAAAGCCACGGCUAACUACGUG